GGUAAAUACAGGCAUGUGCCCGUUCGUCUGCAAUAUGGCGAAAGGAAAGUCCGGACACCUAUGGCAGGAUUCCAUGUGAAAGCAUGGGCACGGCAGAAAAUUGCCGUGACGGAAAGUGCAACAGAAAAUAUACCGCCCCAGGGUAAGGGUGAAAUGGUGGGGUAAGAGCCCACCGGCGAAAUGGCAACAGUUCGCGCUGGAAAACCCAAUCCGGUGCAAGACGGAAUAGAAGGCUGAGCCGCCAGCUCCAUAGCCUCGGGUUCGUCGCACCUUGAAUAAGGAACUUCCAAAUCGGAAGUUAGAUAAAUGGGCACACCGCUCCCGGCCAAAAAUCGGGAGUGAUGCACAGAAUCCGGCUUACUUGUUUUUACUUUCA
rnacentral:RNase_P_RNA from 1 species